rnacentral:rRNA from 1 species
GACAGAGGUGCCAAGCGUUAGGCGGAAUCACUGGGCUUAAAGCGUGUGUAGGCGGGUCGGUAAGUGUCUUGUGAAAUCCCCCGGCUCAACCGGGGAAUGGCUGGGCAUACUGGCGAUCUUGAGCAGUCUAGGGGCAGAUGGAACAGACGGUGGAGCGGUGAAAUGCGUAGAUAUCGGCUGGAACGCCAAAGGUGAAAACAGUCUGCUGGGGACUUGCUGACGCUGAGACACGAAAGCCAGGGGAGCGAACGGG